rnacentral:rRNA from 1 species
UACGGGGGGAGCAAGCGUUGUUCGGAUUUACUGGGCGUAAAGGGCGCGUAGGCGGCCACCGCAAGUCGACUGUGAAAUCUCUGGGCUUAACCCAGAACGGUCAGCCGAUACUGCGGGGCUAGAGUGCAGAAGGGGCAACUGGAAUUCUCGGUGUAGCGGUGAAAUGCGUAGAUAUCGAGAGGAACACCUGCGGCGAAGGCGGGUUGCUGGGCUGACACUGACGCUGAGGCGCG